CAAACCUCCCUGCAUCAGUCUGGGCGCCUAAAGAACUGCGGCGUUCUGCGCAAGGCACACUCCCCACGACUAAACUGAUGUACACCUGCUGGGACGCACACAGGACUGCCCUGUGCUCGGCCAGGCCUUGGUCCAUGGCAAUCCCGCUGCGCACCAUCGGGCUGUGCAACGACACGUUCCCUUACAGAGCCUGGCAAAGAUGCAAUAUCAC